AUCAGUUCUGUAGUGAUAAGGAUUACGGAAAGCAACCUUGGCCAACGGAGCACCACGGCCAGGGUCAUGAAUGAUCUUUUGGACGACACCACGAAUGUAUCCAUGACGCUCAGCAAAGUCCAAAGUACGGAGCUGAGCAGCACCCUUACGAAGACGGGUAUGAGCUUGGAAAAUUCCACCACUCUUUCUUUGAGCUCUGAUCACACGUCCCAUUGUUAGUUUGUUGAAAGAGUAUGUAACAGAUUGGUGUACAAAUCAGUCAGGCCUUGUUUCGAAAAGUACUCGU